CAUUUUUUGUGCAAACAAGUGGUUUCUAGUUUAGCUCUACCUUCUUCUUGGUUUGCUGCCACUUGAACGUCUUGAAGGCUUAUGGACUGAUGUUGCAUUACAACAUAAGACUAUAGACGGAUCUGCGAUAUCCAUGAGUGUCCCGUCCCCCAACAACGUGUUUGAAAAAAAAAGCAUUCAAUGGUUCUAAAUGUUUGAAACAGCCCAGGACUCCCCUGAAGAGGAGAUGGUUCAAUAAGUCAAUAACGUAUCAUACCAUACAAUAUACUAGUUCUAAAGCUCCAAUGACAACAAAAAUAUGAAGAAUUUAGCCCUAACUGUUGGUGUGGAGUUGGAGCUAAUUUGCUGCCUGUCCCUUUUGUGAUGUGUUCAAUGUCAAGUAAUGCAUAAAAUAGCUGGACCCUGACAAAUUGUUGACUAGUUCUUUGCUCAUCUGUUGUAGAACUUUCAGUCUAGUUUACAUAGGAAUAACUUGCCAACUGUAAUUCCUUUAAAAGAUUAGCACCUGGUGAAGUCUGAGCUUCUUCGUUACUGCCCAAUGUUCACAUGGAUAUGACAUAGGCGGCAGGUAAAGGUGUGCUUCCUGUUAGAGAUGGCGAUAUAUCGUCAGGUUUAUCGUUUAUGUUCGCGUAGUUACUGCCCGAUGUGUCACGUUGAUGCAGCCUAUGCUGGUGAAAAAUCUUCCUACAUCAAGUUCAAUUGGCCGUUCCUUGGUGUCGUGUUACCGAAAUUGCAUAAUUAUUUUGUUAAAUUGUCAUCGUGAUUAUGCAGUUUAUCGUUUAUAUGUUAAGAGGCAAAAAAAAAAUAUGGGAUGUUUCAAGUCAAACAAAUAAUAAACAUGUUUUUGGGGUUGGGGAAGAAAAGUAGAGGAUGUUGGAGGUGGUUUGGAAGUUUGGAAAAAAAAUCAGUUAUAUAAUCCUACAAACAUAUCCCUACCAACUAAUCUGCUAACCCCACAAACUUAUACCUUCAAAUUCUUCAAACCCCACAAACAUAAACCUACAACCUCUAAAUUUAUACCCUUAACCCUAUAAACCAAUGUUAUACCUUACCCAUGUAAUAUCUGUAAAAAAUAAAUAUAU